rnacentral:rRNA from 1 species
UGGGGAAUAUUGCACAAUGGGCGCAAGCCUGAUGCAGCCAUGCCGCGUGCAUGAAGAAGGCCUUCGGGUUGUAAAGUACUUUCAGUCGGGAGGAAGGUGGUAAGGUUAAUAACCUUAUCAAUUGACGUUACCGACAGAAGAAGCACCGGCUAACUCCGUGCCAGCAGCCGCGGUAAUACGGAGGGUGCAAGCGUUAAUCGGAAUUACUGGGCGUAAAGCGCACGCAGGCGGUUGAUUGAGUCAGAUGUGAAAUCCCCGGGCUCAACCUGGGAACUGCAUCUGAUACUGGCAAGCUUGAGUCUCGUAGAGGGGGGUAGAAUUCCAGGUGUAGCGGUGAAAUGCGUAGAGAUCUGGAGGAAUACCGGUGGCGAAGGCGGCCCCCUGGACAAAGACUGACGCUCAGGUGCGAAAGCGUGGGGAGCAAACAGG